AUUGAAUUGGCAGAUUAGUGUAUUAAAUUUAGGUUUUAAUAAAGUAUUAUUUAUAUUACAUUCAAUA
rnacentral:tRNA from 1 species